UAAAUAGUAUAAAAGUUUUUCAAAACCAUAUGAAACCAACAUGAAAACAAAGAGCACAUACUAAGAACUUAUGUGCAGGUUUUAAACUAUAUUUUUAAAAGAUUACUUUUCUUUAUCAUCUUAUAUGUCACUAACUCAUUUAUAAGAAUGAGUCCAACAAGAUCUACUAAGUGAGCAACAAGAGAAGCAAAGAACCACGUCACGUUAGCAUUCCCGUAAGUUAGCAUUGUUGAGAGUAAAUGUGGAAAGAUGGAGUGUGAAUUAAGGACACUAAUAUUCCCUGUGGUCUCUGGCGGGGGGUGAGGCGGAGGAAUGCUCGGCGGAGCAAUCCCGCUUGGCAGGUAGAUGAACUGCAGAUCAUACGGGCCGGCAAGUGGUGAUUAAUGGGAGCGGGAAGGCGCUGGAAAGAAAACAACGCUAUAAAUCAACGUUGCGACGAUGGUAAUUGUAAUUGAAAUGAAUUUGUCUGCCCGGAGCCAGGCAUUGCAAUUGAUAUUGACCAAAGCCCUGGUGGUCCAUAGAAAAUGAAAUUGAGAAAAUGUAUUCAGAGUAUCCACUGUAAGAUCUAUACAUCACUGUAUGAAACAACCACUGUGGGCCAAUAAGAAGGGGGAGAAAAGCUAAGCCCGGUGUGCGUGUCGGAUGCUACUGAGCUAUCGUAUGCUCAUAGGUGGCUAAUGUUGUAGAUUUAUGAGAAAAGAGCCACAUUAAAAUCAACUUGAAGGUGAUGUCAAUGAAAAAUACCAUUCAGCUGUUUUUCUGACCCCUUUGGAAUGGAAAAAUAAGAAAAAGUAUUAUAUAGCCUUAAACUUUUUGUUUACUAAGUCUCAUAAAUACUUUUUCUUAAUUUUUGAAAUGUUGAAAUGUUAAACUGCCCCUAUUAUGUCAUUUUAAGGUUCCUCGUUUUGAUUUGGAAUUCUCUUACAAUAGGUUUACAUGCAUCCAUGGUCAAAAACAAAUUUUCUCAUAAUAUACAAUCGCAACAUCACCUCUUUUCUCACAGUGUCUGAAAUGGUUUGGUCUCUCUAAGCCCGUCCUUUCUGCAAGCCUACUCUGCUCUGAUUGGUCAGAUGGCCCAGUCUUCCAGGUCUCACCUACAACUACAGUGUUUGAGAGCGGCUCAAAGUAGACAAUGUUGUGGGCAGCCAAUGAAGAACAUAGGCGACCAUUAUACAAAAUUGUUACAAACCUAGUAGGUUUGAGCAGGUAGUAAUACUAGAAUGACUCAUUUCAAGCAGUUCAGAAUUGGUUCUUUCUUUUGGGAGACAAUAACAUUCAUCAUGCAUUUUUAUCUUUGAAGCUUUGCAGAUAUUUUACAUUCAAAAACAGCAAUACGCACUACAUAAAAGGCAAUAUCCGAACAAGCAUAAUAGGGGCACUUUAAAUUGAAUGAAACUUCUCUAUGCUUUCCCUCUAUAUUAUAUGUAUAAAAAAAACUUUGCACUUUUUUCAAAAAGCUUUAAAUUGAUGUGUAUAAUUUGUACUUUUUUUAUGAUCACUGGCCAAGAUUAAGAUUUCAGAAAGAAAAAAAAAAAAAAAAAAAAAAAAAAAAAAAUCACACGUACUGUAAAUGAAACCACUCUCUUUAAAGGGACAGUUCACCCAAAAAUGAAAAUUAUCCCAUGAUUUACUCACCCUCAAGCCAUUCUAGGUGUAUAUGACUAUCUUCUUUCAGACAAACACAAUCAGAGAUAUAUUUAAAAAUAUCCUUAGUCCUCCAAUCUUUAUAAUAGUUGUGAAGGGGGGGGAAAUAACCUCUGACCCGACGCAUGACGUAAUGAUGAACGCGGAAGUGCAGAGGAUAGAGCAAAACAAAACACCAGCCAUGAAUUAGAAGCCUAAAAUGAUCAUUUUUAAAGAGAAAUGUCGGAGGAUUUCGAUAGAAGAGGAGAGAAGCUUGAGUUUGUUGCCCAGCCACAUUUGUUUGAACCGUGAGAGGCGUCUAAGCUCACGAUACUACUACAUCCUACGUCCUACAUCGCGUCAGGGGGUUACUCAUUUGGCGCAAGUCGAUUUGCGCAGUAUGAGUAAGGUCGUCCGCCGGAAGCUAGUUAUUUGUUUGUAUGAAAGAAGAUAGUCAUAUACACCAAGGAUUGCUUGAGGGAGCCUUUGUAGCCAAACUACGUUGGCUUUUGGAUGGUUUGCUUUACCAGCACAUUGCAUUGGCAUACUGUAAUUUGAACAGAGCCAGUGGCGAUUCAGAUCCCAGAUCUACAGAGAGGCUCAGAGGAAUAUCUCGGCUGGAGGGGCCCGUGCAGGAAGAACACCCAGCUGAACACAAUGUGGGAUCGGCUAUGAGCUAAUUGUACCACUUUACAACUCUGACGCUACUUUACAAUAAAGUCUGUAUUGUUUCA